rnacentral:rRNA from 1 species
GAUGAACGCUGGCGGCGUGCCUAAUACAUGCAAGUCGAACGCUGAAGGAAGGAGCUUGCUCUUUCCGGAUGAGUUGCGAACGGGUGAGUAACGCGUAGGUAACCUGCCUGGUAGCGGGGGAUAACUAUUGGAAACGAUAGCUAAUACCGCAUAACAGUAGAUGUUGCAUGAUAUCUACUUAAAAGGUGCAAUUGCACCACUACCAGAUGGACCUGCGUUGUAUUAGCUAGUUGGUGAGGUAACGGCUCACCAAGGCGACGAUACAUAGCCGACCUGAGAGGGUGAUCGGCCAAACUGGGACUGAGGCACGGCCCAGCCUCCUACGGGAGGCAGCAGUAGGGAAUCUUCGGCAAUGGACGGAAGUCUGACCGAGCAACGCCGCGUGAGAGAAGAAGGUUUUCGGAUCGUAAAGAUCUGUUGUAAGAGAAGAACGAGUGUGAGAGUGGAAAGUUCACACUGUGACGGUAUCUUACCAGAAAGGGACGGCUAACUACGUG